rnacentral:rRNA from 1 species
AAAGAUCGAAUGGGGAGAUUCAUCAUCAACGAAGCUGGCUUCGCGAUGGCUCGUGAUGUCCAUCGGGAUUUCGGUCCUGUGUGUGGCACGCGGUCGUUGCGUUGCGUCUGGCUACGUCGGCGUGCACUUCUCCCCUAGUAGAACGUCGCGACCCGUUGGGUGCCGGUCUUACGGCCUGGGUGGAUGCCUGGUGCUUUAUUGCGCCAGACCCCCGUGUGCCAAUGAAUCCGGCUGCCCGGCGGUACUCCGAUGGUAUCAGGCCGCAUAUUUGAACUGCGUCGGGCCCAUUUUGUCCGCGGAUCAGUGUUAUACGGUGGUUACGGACCUAGUGCCGUCCCCGUGCCUGACUCGCGUAUGGCAAGUGGUGUCCUCCGACAGGCCAUGCACUCGAAUGAAGGAUACCGGUCGGCGACGCUACUGCUUUGGGUAAUCUCAGGACCCGUCUUGAAACACGGACCAAGGAGUCUAACAUGUGCGCGAGUCAUUGGGACCGCAUGCCUAAAGGCGAAAUGAAAGUGAAGGUCGGCCUUAGCGCCGACCGAGGGAGGAUGGGCCGCGUUACGAUGCGGCUCCGCACUCCCGGGGCGUCUCGUUCUCAU